rnacentral:rRNA from 1 species
GUAAGGAAUAUUGGACAAUGGUCGCAAGACUGAUCCAGCCAUGCCGCGUGCAGGAUGAAUGCCCUAUGGGUUGUAAACUGCUUUUAUACGGGAAAAAACCCCACUACGUGUAGUGGGCUGAUGGUACCGUAAGAAUAAGGAUCGGCUAACUUCGUGCCAGCAGCCGCGGUAAUACGAAGGAUUCGAGCGUUAUCCGGAUUUAUUGGGUUUAAAGGGUGCGUAGGUGGAUUAAUAAGUCAGUGGUGAAAGCCCGAAGCUCAACUUCGGAACUGCCAUUGAUACUGUUAAUCUUGAGUACAGUUGAGGUGGGCGGAAUGUGUCAUGUAGCGGUGAAAUGCUUAGAUAUGACACAGAACACCGAUUGCGAAGGCAGCUCACUAAGCUGUAACUGACACUGAGGCACGAAAGCGUGGGGAGCAAACAGGAUUAGAAACCCUUGUAGUCC